UUGAACGCUGGCGGAAUGCUUUACACAUGCAAGUCGAGCGGCAGCGCGGGGGCAACCCUGGCGGCGAGCGGCGAACGGGUGAGUAACAUAUCGGAACGUACCCCGUCGUGGGGGAUAACACAGCGAAAGCUGUGCUAAUACCGCAUACGACCUGAGGGUGAAAGCGGGGGAUCGCAAGACCUUGCGCGAUUAGAGCGGCCGAUGUCGGAUUAGCUAGUUGGUGGGGUAAAGGCCUACCAAGGCAACGAUCCGUAGCUGGUCUGAGAGGAUGAUCAGCCACACUGGGACUGAGACACGGCCCAGACUCCUACGGGAGGCAGCAGUGGGGAAUUUUGGACAAUGGGCGCAAGCCUGAUCCAGCCAUUCCGCGUGAGUGAAGAAGGCCUUCGGGUUGUAAAGCUCUUUCGGCAGGGAAGAAACGGCAGGCUCUAACAUAGCCUGCUAAUGACGGUACCUGAAGAAGAAGCACCGGCUAACUACGU
rnacentral:rRNA from 1 species